AGGACAGACCAUGGCAGCAUGGAAGAUAUGAUUUGAAUCUCCUUUCCAUGGAAACUGGCUAUGAAAAGGGGGGGGCAAUUUACUCUUUUUCCUGCUGGAGAUGAACAAGGAAGCACAUAGUCCUGAUUGCCACUGUCAGCUCUCUUGCCUCUGUGAAGGCGACCAUCCUGGGAUGAGGGCAACACGAAGAUGGCAGCAAGAAGAAUUCUAAGAAGUGUCUCCCCUGCUGAUCUCUGCUGCUUUCAAGCCUCAAAGAUGCCAGGACUGGCAGAAGACAGCUGAGUGUAAAACAGUGGAAGUCAGCUAGAGUACAUGUUGCUGGAGGCGGAGUUCCAUGAGAAGCAAAGGAGGCAAGAAACCACAUCCACCCAAGGCAAGAAGAAAGUCAGGCUGAACCCAGAGGGAACAGGGAGGAACAGAGAGGUCAGCCUGCAGUGGGAGCUGGGAUGCAGCUGAGAAGGGGGGGUGCCAGUGGGGAAGUGUGGGAACCAAUCCCCUUGAGGAAGCACAUGCGCAGCAAUAAUGAUCACAGUACCACCGCAACUCGCUCUUUCGUUAGUUUGAUUUUAGGCUGAGUCCCAGACCCUAGUCUGCACUCCACUGACUCUUAAAGCAACAGGAACCUCAGGCAGCCCUAGGAGCAGGAGCUGAUGCUUUCCUUGGGGUGUCUCAGUUUGAGAAGCUUUAGCUCUAGGAUUCUCCAUCCACCCCAUCUUCCUGUCUUUGCACUAUUCCCAUCUUUAAAAUCCCAUUAUCCACAGCACAGCACUCAGGCUCUGAACUCCACCCAGUCCUUCUAGUUAUGCUGGCUUUGACUUUACCUACCUUCCUAUCUCUUCUGACAUUGUCCACCCACCCUUUUAUUUCCCCACAAGACGUAUUACCCCCACCACCCCCCAUUGAUUUCCAGGUAUUCCAGCCUUCCUAUGGUUUCCUAAACAUGUGGUUUUGGAAACAGUGCUGUGUUCACUACUUCAUUUCAUUUUCCUGGGCAGCUAAGAAGAUAUUUCCCAGUUAGGUUAGGACAAUGAGCAAAUUCUUAACAACAGAAAAGUGGGCAGAGGGAUAUGACACUUCUGGUUCAAGGAAGGUAAAAGGGGAUCUGAGUUCUUUGUGGUCACCCUCUCUUGUCUAUA